GAGCUGGGUUUAGAACGUCGUGAGACAGUUCGGUCCCUAUCUGCCGCGGGUGUUGGAGGUUUGAGAGGAGCUGUCCCUAGUACGAGAGGACCGGGAUGGACGCACCUCUGGUGCACCGGUUGUGACGCCAGUCGCAUCGCCGGGUAGCCACGUGCGGACGAGAUAACCGCUGAAAGCAUCUAAGCGGGAAACUCACCUCAAAACAAGACCUCCCUCAAGAGCCGUGCAAGACCAGCACGUCGAUAGGGGGCAUGUGGACGCGCGGCAACGCGUGAAGCUGAGCCCUACUAAUCGCUCGUUCGGCUUGAUCC
rnacentral:rRNA from 1 species